rnacentral:rRNA from 1 species
UACGAAGGGGGCAAGCGUUAUUCGGAAUUACUGGGCGUAAAGAGCGUGAAGGUGGCAGUCUAAGUCAGUUGUUAAAUGUUACGGCCUAACCGUAAACCUGCGAUUGAUACUGGUGGUGCUAGAAUAUGUGAGAGGGAAGUAGAAUUCCAGGUGUAGCGGUGAAAUGCGUAGAGAUCUGGAGGAAUACCGAUGGCGAAGGCAGCUUCCUGGCAUAAUAUUGACACUGAGAUUCGAAAGCGUGGGUAGCAAACAGG